CGAAGCCUGACUGCUGCCCGCGCAGAGCCAGUCCAGUGACACAGGAUGACCUUCAGUAUCACAACCUCAGCAAGCAGCAGAAUGAGUCCCCGCAGCCCCUCGUGGAGACGGGAAAGAAGUCUCCAGAAUCUCUGGUCAAGCUGGAUGCAACCCCAUUGUCCUCCCCACGGCAUGUGAGGAUCAAAAACUGGGGCAGCGGGAUGACUUUCCAAGACACACUUCAC
rnacentral:lncRNA from 1 species